rnacentral:rRNA from 1 species
UACGGAGGGGGCUAGCGUUGUUCGGAAUUACUGGGCGUAAAGGGCGCGCAGGCGGCUGCUCAAGUCAGGCGUGAAAGGCCUGGGCUCAACCCGGGAAUUGCGCUUGAGACUGGGCUGGCUUGAGUGCGGGAGAGGAUGGUGGAAUUCCCAGUGUAGAGGUGAAAUUCGUAGAUAUUGGGAAGAACACCGGUGGCGAAGGCGGCCAACUGGACAGAUACUGACGCUGAGACACGAAAGCGUGGGGAGCAAACAGG